GAGGGUAUAGCUCAAGUGGUAGAGUGCAUGCUUAGCAUGCAGGAGGUCCUGGGGUCAAUCCCCAGCACCCCCU
rfam:Camelus ferus unplaced genomic scaffold scaffold1171, whole genome shotgun sequence.